rnacentral:rRNA from 1 species
GAUGAACGCUGGCGGCGUGCCUAAUACAUGCAAGUCGAGCGAACAGAUGAGGAGCUUGCUCCUCUGACGUUAGCGGCGGACGGGUGAGUAACACGUGGAUAACCUACCUAUAAGACUGGGAUAACUUCGGGAAACCGGAGCUAAUACCGGAUAAUAUAUUGAACCGCAUGGUUCAAUAGUGAAAGACGGUUUUGCUGUCACUUAUAGAUGGAUCCGCGCCGCAUUAGCUAGUUGGUAAGGUAACGGCUUACCAAGGCAACGAUGCGUAGCCGACCUGAGAGGGUGAUCGGCCACACUGGAACUGAGACACGGUCCAGACUCCUACGGGAGGCAGCAGUAGGGAAUCUUCCGCAAAGGGCGAAAGCCUGACGGAGCAACGCCGCGUGAGUGAUGAAGGUCUUCGGAUCGUAAAACUCUGUUAUUAGCGAAGAACAAAUGUGUAAGUAACUAUGCACGUCUUGACGGUACCUAAUCAGAAAGCCACGGCUAACUACGUG